UCCCUGGUGGCUCAGACGGUAAAGAAUCUGCCUGCAAUGCAGGAGAGACACACCCAGGUUCGACCCCUGGCUCAGGAA
rnacentral:tRNA from 1 species